rnacentral:rRNA from 1 species
AUUGAACGCUGGCGGCAGGCCUAACACAUGCAAGUCGAACGAGUGGCGGACGGGUGAGUAAUGUCUGGGAAACUGCCCGAUGGAGGGGGAUACCUACUGGAAACGGUAGCUAAUACCGCAUACCAUCGGAUGUGCCCAGAUGGGAUUAGCUUUUAGGUGGGGUAAAGGCUCACCUAGGCCAAGACCCCUAGCCGGUCUGAGAGGAUGACCAGCCACACUGGAACUGAGACACGGUCCAGACUCCUACGGGGGGCAGCAGUGGGGAAUAUUGCACAAUGGGCGCAAGCCUGAUGCAGACAUGCCGCGUGUAUGAAGAAGGCCUUCGGGUUGUAAAGUACGUUCAGCGGGGAGGCGUUACCCGCAGAAGAAGCACCGGCUAACUCCGUGCCAGCAGCCGCGGUAAUUC